AGAUUGAACGCUGGCGGCGUGCUUAACACAUGCAAGUCGUGCGGUAACAGGCGUAGCAAUACGUGCUGACGAGCGGCGAACGGGUGCGUAAUACAUGGGAAUCUGCCCUUUAGUGGGGAAUAACCCGGCGAAAGCCGGGCUAAUGCCGCAUAAGAUCUUCGGAUGAAAGGCGGGGGAUCGUAAGACCUCGCGCUGAUGGAUGAGCCCA
rnacentral:rRNA from 1 species